UACGUAGGGUGCGAGCGUUAAUCGGAAUUACUGGGCGUAAAGCGUGCGCAGGCGGUUUUGUAAGCCAGAUGUGAAAUCCCCGGGCUUAACCUGGGAAUGGCAUUUGGGACUGCAAGGCUGGAGUUUGGCAGAGGAGACUGGAAUUCCUGGUGUAGCAGUGAAAUGCGUAGAUAUCUGGAGGAACACCGGUGGCGAAGGCGGCAUUCUGGACUGUAACUGACACUGAGGAACGAAAGCGUGGGUAGCAAACAGG
rnacentral:rRNA from 1 species